AUUGAACGCUGGCGGCAUGCCUUACACAUGCAAGUCGAACGGUAACGCGGGGCAACCUGGCGACGAGUGGCGAACGGGUGAGUAAUGCAUCGGAACGUGCCCAGUAGUGGGGGAUAGCCCGGCGAAAGCCGGAUUAAUGCCGCAUACGACCUACGGGUGAAAGGGGGGGAUCGCAAGACCUCUCGCUAUUGGAGCGGCCGAUAUCUGGUUAGCUAGUUGGUGAGGUAAAGGCUCACCAAGGCGACGAUCAGUAGCUGGUCUGAGGGGACGACCAGCCACACUGGAACUGAGACACGGUCCAGACUCCUACGGGAGGCAGUAGUGGGGAAUUUUGGACAAUGGGCGCAAGCCUGAUCCAGCAAUGCCGCGUGAGUGGAGAAGGCCUCGGUUGUAAGCUCUUUGUCUAGGGAAGAAAGGUUAGUGGCGUAAUAUCCACAACU
rnacentral:rRNA from 1 species